rnacentral:misc_RNA from 1 species
UUGAAAUAAACCUGAUGGGUUGUUGCUGGCUCUCCAGGGAGCAUGUGCACGCCUGUUCAUCUUUAUAUCUCCACCUGUGCACCUUUUGUAGACCCUCCCGGGGGUCUAUGUCGCUUCAUCUACCCCAAUGUAUGUUAAUAGAAUGUGUGUGCAUAUGAAAUCUAUA